CACGUAGGGACCAAGCGUUGUCCGGAUUCAUUGGGCGUAAAGAGCUCGUAGGCGGUUCAGUAAGUCGGGUGUGAAACCUCCAGGCUCAACCUGGAGACGCCACCCGAUACUGCUGUGACUAGAGUCCAGUAGGGGAGCGUGGAAUUCCUGGUGUAGCGGUGAAAUGCGCAGAUAUCAGGAGGAACAUCAGCGGCGAAGGCGGCGCUCUGGGCUGGAACUGACGCUGAGGAGCGAAAGCGUGGGGAGCGAACAGG
rnacentral:rRNA from 1 species